rnacentral:rRNA from 1 species
UACAGGGGGGGCAAACGUUAUCCGGAGUUACUGGGCGUAAAGGGCGUGUAGGUGGUUUCGUAAGUCUGGCGUGAAAUAUCUCGGCUUAACCGAGGCAGGUCGUCGGAUACUGCGGAACUAGAGGACGGUAGAGGAGUGUGGAAUUCCGGGUGUAGUGGUGAAAUGCGUAGAGAUCCGGAGGAACACCAGUGGCGAAGGCGACACGCUGGGCCGUACCUGACACUGAUGCACGACAGCAUGGGGAGCAAACAGG